rnacentral:rRNA from 1 species
AUUGAACGCUGGCGGAAUGCUUUACACAUGCAAGUCGAACGGUAGCACGGACUUCGGUCUGGUGGCGAGUGGCGAACGGGUGAGUAAUGUAUCGGAACGUGCCCAAUCGUGGGGGAUAACGUAGUGAAAAUUACGCUAAUACCGCAUACGAUCUAUGAUUGAAAGAGGGGGAUCGGAUGACCUCGCCCGAUAGGAUCAGCCGAUAUCAGAUUAGGUAGUUGGUGGGGUAAAGGCCCACCAAGCCAACGAUCUGUAGCUGGUCUGAGAGGACGACCAGCCACACUGGAACUGAGACACGGUCCAGACUCCUACGGGAGGCAGCAGUGGGGAAUUUUGGACAAUGGGCGAAAGCCUGAUCCAGCCAUUCCGCGUGCAGGAUGAAGGCCCUCGGGUUGUAAACUGCUUUUGUACAGAACGAAAAGGUUUCUACUAAUACUAGGAGCUCAUGACGGUACUGUAAGAAUAAGCACCGGCUAACUACGUGCCAGCCGCCGCCGUAA